UGGCUCAAUUGAUGUAAAAUUUAAAUUCCCUGUGACCACACUUCCUAUUAAACAAAAAUCAAGGUAACAAUAUCAACGUCUUAAACAUUGGGAUGUUGGUGAGCUCUUUCAGAAUAUCCACAAGUCUCUUCUCAUACGUGUAGCUCCACGUAGCCCUUUCCGUUGACAUGGCUACAAGAAAUAAACAAGAUUAGAUAAAGGCUGUCAUGAAAACAAUACAAAAAUAAGCAAUGAAGAAAAAAAAUAAUACAGGCUGUAACAUUUAUGCUCAAAACAUUUAUCCAAACAUCAAAAGUUACUACCCACAUCUCUAUCUUCAGUACCUUGAGAGUUGAUGCAAACAUCAAAAGUUGCUACCUCUGAUUCUUUCUUCCUGAUCAGACUACUUUCUACUAGCACAUAUAACCAAGUUGCAUAUUAAGCUGUAAUACUGAAAACAGUCGGAAACAUCGACAUGUCCGUCAGCCUCUCUAGCAGAACAAAAAUAAAGGGCAAGCGCAUCGAACCUGCAGAGCAGCAAUGGGAUUGUUAGGCAACAACCUGCGCCCCAGGUCUUCUGUAAGAGCAGAUUUAAUUGUGCUGGACCCAAAGCUCUAUCUCAUCCUUAGUGAGUGCUCCCUAUAAACCACUCAAGCUCUACAACCUUUGGUUACUCAACUGCCUCACACAAUCAUAGCAAGCCAUGACCUUAUUGAUUGAUCCACGAGUAAAGAUUGCUUACAUAGCACCACAACAAGGCAGGCAACUAGCAGCAUAUAGGCAAAGCAAUCUAUGCCUGGAACUGCAACUGGAUCUGGGGAGGAAAAGGAGGAGAAAGGAAGGGCUCACCGUUGGGACGAGGCAAGGCGGGGAAGUUACAGAGCAGUGGAUGGAGAGGCGGCGGGGAAGUCACCGGAUCUUGGAGAUCAAGCCGGCGUGGGGAUGGAGAGGCGGCGGGGAGGCGACGGUGAGACGACCAGGAGUGGCGAUGGCGAGGUGCAGAAAGGGGGAUCCGCAUAGGCGACCUGUGCUGCAUCGCUCGGGAGC
rnacentral:lncRNA from 1 species